rnacentral:tRNA from 1 species
UUUAAAUAGUUUAAAAUAAAAUUUUGAUUUGUGGUGUCAAAGAUGCUGAAUUAGCUUUAAAUAA